rnacentral:lncRNA from 1 species
CGCAAGUUUUCUUCAUAAAAUCAUUGAACCUCGUUAGAAAUUGCAAACUUGUAACUCAUCUCCUUAUCCUCAUUUUAACAUUUUUAUGCGUGUUCAGAUUUCGGUUAGGUAGACUGUACAUAAGAGGACCGUAGAAAAAAAAUUAGACUUGUCACAUCACGUCCUUGGCUUUAUUGUAUAAUACAAUUUUUCUUUCUACAAAAAGAAAUAGAAAAAGGCCCAAAAUCAGUUUGUAGAAGUUAGUCACAUUCUUCCCAAUUAUUAAAUUGGUAUUUUAUAUUUCUUGAAAAGUGUUCAUCGCUUAAAAACAAGAGUCUAUUUUUUUCUAAUUGUGUAGAACGCUUAUAAUCACGCCCAACUUUUUAUCCACUCUCAACCUCGAUGGUCUGAAAGAAAAAGGAAAGAUUUAGUGAUAGGGUAUGAAAUUACACGAAUUUUUAAACGAGGGCCCUUGAUUGAUAUAAAUAAAUGUUUAAGUCCAAAUCCUCCUAUAUAGUACCUUUUUUGAGUUCAUAAUGGGUAAGGUCAGCUGUUUUAAAUCAUGCAGGAGUCACUUAUGAAAAUUGAUGAAAGGAAAAUAAACAUAAACUUCUGUGUAAUUAGAAAAAAGUGAGCCGUAAAGGGGGAAAUAAACAGCUGAGAAUAAAAAAAUAAACUGUAAGCUUUUGUGCUAGUGGUUAUGUGGUAACGCAGAGACGAAGCUUUAAGCAAAUACAGUUAUUUGAAAAAGUAUAUUACCACCUAAGAUAUUUUCUUAUUUUUAGCAUAAAAGAAAUGUAUUACAAAAUACAAGAAAAUAUGACCUGUUUCGUCAAACGACAUGAAAUAACACUUACUUUGCAUCCUUAAUGAAUCAAAUUAGACUGAUUUUUGUUUUUUGCAGGAACUAGAGGAAGAUCUUGAAACAGUCAACCUCAUCAUGGUCUCAUCUCUCGUGAACAUUUACGAUUGAAAGCCUGGUUUUUUCGGAUUAAACCCCAAAUUUUGCAAUUUACUAAUGGCAGUGUGAAUAACUGUUUUGCUACAACAAAUCUUGACUACAAUUUCGCCCUCAUAUAAAGUCACUAUUUUAGCUCUUUGAACAUCAGAAAAGGUAGUUUUUUUUGCCAAUUUUUAAAGAAUAUCAAUUACAGCUAAUAUGCGAGCAAAACCUUUUCAUGCAAGCGUCAUUAGGCAAAAGUUUGAUAAACACACGCGCUAGAUCCAGUGGAACAUGACACGUGCCAUACUUGUAUGAUAUGCGUUCAUACACGUCCAGAAAUCGAUUAUUAUUGAAUUAGGUGUUCUUAAACUUUUGCAAAUGACUGUAUAGCUAUUUUGACAGACAUUAUUUCUUUACAAAUACAGUCAAACCUGCUCUAACCGGCACCUGAUUUAAGCGUGUCACCGCACUAAGCACACAUACCUAGUUCCCAUACAGGAAGUACAUCGCUUAAAGAAUUAAUUUUCUUCUCCUUCAAGAAAAAAAACCGUAUAUAAAUUAGAUAAAAGAGAAAAUGCAGAUUUUGUUGGAGUGGUUUCAUUGGUUUAAUAUUCGAAUCAGUGUGAUUGACUCACCAGUUCGAACCGUAUCGUUAUAAGGUAAUUACCACUGUUACGUCGUAGAAAAACAAAUACAUUACUGAUUACUCCAAUCGAUGGAAAUCUAAUUUUGAUUCUUCGCCGGUACUCCAAUGUAUCUUUUCGUUGCUCUUCGCUGCAUCCAUCCAGGGAGCACUAUAUACAUGGAGAGUUCACGCCUUUUCUGGAAACACAUUAUGGCCAUGGGUAGUGAUUUAAUUAAUUACUUGAGCAAACAACUUCAUAUUUGGGAAUCUAUCUAUGUAUUCACAAUGAACGUUUGUUUACCAAGAAGAAUCCCUCUAUUCGUCUCCUAGCCUCAGCUUUCCUAUUUCUUCAUAAAUAGUUCCAAGAUGAGUUUCGAGUAACUCUCCUUAUCUUCACUUAGAUGAUAAUGUAAAAUAAGUCCAAAACUUGGAAUAUUGACUAAAGAACUACUCAUGUAGAAAGUGAAGAGCUCUUAUAGUUUUGGAUGAGGAUUGGAUUGGACAAAAGUCAAAAUCAUUGCUAUUGAGGAAUAAUUGCUUUUUAGCUCAUAAAUAAAGGCAACGACAAUAUUUAUCAAGAAUUUAUUUCCAAACAUUUUAUAAAAAUAUAAAUACUAAGUUAAUCGGUGCCCUCUGAUAUUUUCUACUAUGGAAGGAAAUAUUGAUGUUUUAAUAUUUUGUUGUAAAUUUCAUUUCCAUGCUUUUCUGAAUUAGAAGCUCUUGACUCAUGCUUAUCAAUGUCUAA